rnacentral:rRNA from 1 species
GACGAACGCUGGCGGCGCGCUUAACACAUGCAAGUCGAACGGAAAGGCCUGCUUUCCCUUGUGGAUUGCGGGUACUCGAGUGGCGAACGGGUGAGUAACACGUGAGUGAUCUGCCCCCAACUUGGGUAUAAGCCUGGGAAACUGGGUCUAAUUCCCGAUAGGACUGCAGGGUGGUGCCUGUGGUGGAAAACGAUUUUCUAGUGGUUGGGGAUGAGCUCGCGGCCUAUCAGCUUGUUGGUGGGGUAAUGGCCUACCAAGGCGGCGACGGGUAGCCGGCCUGGGAGGGUGGACGGCCACAUUGGGACUGAGAUACGGCCCAGACUCCUACGGGAGGCAGCAGUGGGGAAUAAGGCACAAUGGGCGGAAGCCUGAUGCAGCGACGCCGCGUGGGGGAUGACGGGCUUCGGGUUGUAAACUCCUUUCGACCGCGAGGAAGCCACCUGGUUGGAAGGGUGGUGACGGUAGUGGUAGAAGAAGCACCGGCUAACUACGUG